CACAAUGACAGGACAUUGCUGAUGGGAACC
rnacentral:piRNA from 1 species